rnacentral:rRNA from 1 species
ACGGAAGGCAGCAGUGGGGGAUAUUGCACAAUGGGGGAAACCCUGAUGCAGCGACGCCGCGUGAGCGAAGAAGUAUUUCGGUAUGUAAAGCUCUAUCAGCAGGGAAGAAAAUGACGGUACCUGACUAAGAAGCUCCGGCUAAAUACGUGCCAGCAGCCGCGGUAAUACGUAUGGAGCAAGCGUUAUCCGGAUUUACUGGGUGUAAAGGGAGCGUAGACGGUUUGCCAAGUCUGAUGUGAAAGGUGGGGGCUCAACCCCCAAACUGCAUUGGAAACUGGUAGACUAGAGUGUCGGAGAGGUAAGUGGAAUUCCUAGUGUAGCGGUGAAAUGCGUAGAUAUUAGGAGGAACACCAGUGGCGAAGGCGGCUUACUGGACGGUAACUGACGUUGAGGCUCGAAAGCGUGGGGAGCAAACAGGAUUAGAUACCCUGGUA